UACAGAGGUCUCAAGCGUUGUUCGGAUUCAUUGGGCGUAAAGGGUGCGUAGGCGGCGCGGUAAGUCGGGUGUGAAAUCUCGGAGCUUAACUCCGAGCUUGCAUUCGAUACGGGCAGGCUAGAGUUCGGUAGGGGAGACUGGAAUUCCUGGUGUAGCGGUGAAAUGCGCAGAUAUCAGGAGGAACACCGGUGGCGAAGGCGGGUCUCUGGGCCGAUACUGACGCUGAGGAGCGAAAGCGUGGGGAGCGAACAGG
rnacentral:rRNA from 1 species